GUGAAGAACGCAGCAAAAUGCGAUACUUGGUGUGAAUUGCAGAAUCCCGUGAACCAUCGAGUUUUUGAACGCAAGUUGCGCCCGAAGCCUUUUGGCCGAGGGCACGUCUGCCUGGGCGUCACGCAUCGCGUCGCCCCCCACAAUUCUCCGUAAAGGGAACAUGUGUUUUGGGGGCGGAUAUUGGUCUCCCGUGCUCAUGGCGUGGUUGGCCGAAAUAGGAGUCCUUUCGAUGGACGCACGAACUAGUGGUGGUCGUAAAAACCCUCGUCUUUUGUUUCGUGCUGUUGGUCGCAAGGUAAACUCUUUAAAAACCCCAAUGUGUCGUCUCUUGACGACGCUUCGACCGCGACCCCAGGUCAGGCGGGACUACCCGCUGAGUUUAAGCAUAUCAAUAAGCGGAGGA
rnacentral:misc_RNA from 1 species